UACGUAGGGUGCAAGCGUUAAUCGGAAUUACUGGGCGUAAAGCGUGCGCAGGCGGUUGUGCAAGACAGAUGUGAAAUCCCCGGGCUUAACCUGGGAACUGCAUUUGUGACUGCACGGCUAGAGUGCGGCAGAGGGGGAUGGAAUUCCGCGUGUAGCAGUGAAAUGCGUGGAUAUGCGGAGGAACACCGAUGGCGAAGGCAAUCCCCUGGGCCUGCACUGACGCUCAUGCACGAAAGCGUGGGGAGCAAACAGG
rnacentral:rRNA from 1 species